AUCCAACGAUCAUUUUCGACGAU
rnacentral:snRNA from 1 species